rnacentral:lncRNA from 1 species
CUAGGUAACUAUGCUCUUUGAGGAAUGUAUCUGAGUAACCAUGACAACUUCUGUAAUCUGUCACCAAAGGAGCAUAAAGGACUCAGAAAGUCCUGCCCGAACUCUUUGCAUCUCACCCUCAUAUCCGCUGUUCUGAUUUGUGUAAAUCUUGCUUGCUACGUUCCCAGGGAAACUCCUAUGAAAUAACUUUCCACUACCUUUAGAUUAAAACCCCCAAAUCCUCACAUGGCUCAUAAGGCUACGGACCCAGCCCCUCUGAUUAUCAACUCUGGCUUCUCCCUUCCUUCCUGCCUACUCUCUGGUCAAUAUAGGCUGGCAUUCCCACAUGGCAAGAGCUUGCUGGGCUGGGAUUAAGAAGCAGCUGUGCUCUGCAGACUGGUGAGUGUCCUCUAGCUGCCCAAUGAAGCUUUCUGUAGUAAUUGAAAUGUUCCGUGUCUG